GUGAAAUUACUGAAAAAAAAAAGCGUGAUUUGGGGAAAUUACAGUUCCUUGUUUAGUAUGUAUUGUGCAUGCCCUACAGCCUUCCCUAACCAGUAGCUCCCAAUUUCAUUUAAAUUGUAAUGAUUUCC
rnacentral:miRNA from 1 species